rnacentral:rRNA from 1 species
CCUACGGGAGGCAGCAGUGAGGAAUAUUGGUCAAUGGACGAGAGUCUGAACCAGCCAAGUAGCGUGAAGGAUGACUGCCCUAUGGGUUGUAAACUUCUUUUAUAUGGGAAUAAAAUGUUCCACGUGUGGGAUUUUGUAUGUACCAUAUGAAUAAGGAUCGGCUAACUCCGUGCCAGCAGCCGCGGUAAUACGGAGGAUCCGAGCGUUAUCCGGAUUUAUUGGGUUUAAAGGGAGCGUAGGUGGAUUGUUAAGUCAGUUGUGAAAGUUUGCGGCUCAACCGUAAAAUUGCAGUUGAAACUGGCAGUCUUGAGUACAGUAGAGGUGGGCGGAAUUCGUGGUGUAGCGGUGAAAUGCAUAGAUAUCACGCAGAACCCCGAUUGCGAAGGCAGCAUACCGGCUUCCGACUGACGCUGAGGCACGAAGGCCAGGGGAGCGAAAGGGAUUAGAUACCCUUGUAGUC